rnacentral:rRNA from 1 species
AGCUCCAAUAGCGUAUAUUAAAGUUGUUGUGGUUAAAAAGCUUGUAGUUGGAUCUCGGCGGUCUGGGAGCGGUUCGCUUGCUAGAGUGCUACUGCUCCAUAGUCCGUAGUUUUGCCAGAGGUCUCGGGGUGCUCUUAACCGAGUGUCCCGCGAUGCUGGCAGGUUUACUUUGAAAAAAAUUAGAGUGCUCAAAGCAGGCUUUUACGCCUGAAUAUUCGUGCAUGGAAUAAUAGAAUAGAAAGUCGUUUCUAUUUUGUUGUUUUUUGGAACUCGACUUAAUGAUUAAUAGGGACAGUCGGGGGCAUUUGUAUUCAAACGACAGAGGUGAAAUUCUUGGACCGUUUGACGACAAACUACUGCAAAAGCAUUUGCCAAGAAUGUUUUCA